rnacentral:rRNA from 1 species
UACGUAGGGGGCUAGCGUUGUCCGGAAUCAUUGGGCGUAAAGCGCGUGUAGGCGGUCUAAUAAGUCCUGUGUGAAAGCCCCCGGCUCAACCGGGGAAUUGCACAGGAUACUGUUGGGCUAGAGUACAGGAGGGGAGAGCGGAAUUCCUGGUGGAGCGGUGAAAUGCGUAGAUAUCAGGAGGAACGCCAGUGGCGAAAGCGGCUCUCUGGUCUGUUACUGACGCUGAGGUGCGAAAGCUAGGGGAGCAAACGGG